rfam:Myotis brandtii contig272995, whole genome shotgun sequence.
GGCGGUUCUCGGGUGACGCACCCCAGAAUUGGGCUCCCUGCUCUCUGGUUUUGGGUGUGUCACCUGAGAACUGCC